rnacentral:rRNA from 1 species
ACGCUCGACACCUACGGGAGGCAGCAGUGGGGAAUAUUGCACAAUGGGGGAAACCCUGAUGCAGCGACGCCGCGUGAGCGAAGAAGUAUUUCGGUAUGUAAAGCUCUAUCAGCAGGGAAGAUCAUGACGGUACCUGACUAAGAAGCUCCGGCUAAAUACGUGCUAGCAGCCGCGGUAAUCUGAGCGGGCUGGCAAGGC